ACGGAAGGGCACCACCAGGAGUGGAAUCUGCGGCUUAAUUUGACUCAACGCGGGAAAACUCACCAGGUCAGGACACGGUAAGGAUUGACGGACUGAAGGCUCUUUCUCGAUUCCGUGGAAAGUGGUGCAUGGCCGUUUUUGGUUGGUGGAUCGAUCCGUCUGGUUAAUUCCGUUAACGAACGAGACCUCGGCACUCCGAAUAGCGCGGCGGACGUCGCGGCCUCCGGGGCCGUCUUCCGCACGAGCUUCUUAGAGGGACCGUCCCCGCGGGGAAGAGGUGCGAGGCAACGACAGGUCUGUGAUGCCCUUAGAUGUUCUGGGCCGCACGCGCAUUACACUGACGCGUCCAACGGGUGACUCCCGACCCGAAGGGGCCGGGGAAUCCGCAAGGCGCGUCGUGAUGGGGAUUGAACGUUGCAAUUGUUGUUCACGAACGAGGAAUUCCUAGUAGGCGCGGGUCAUCAACCCGCGCCGAUUACGUCCCUGCCCUUUGUACACACCGC
rnacentral:rRNA from 1 species